CAUGCAAGUCGAACGGGAUAACAAUUGAAGUUGUUGUUUAGUGGCGGAAGGGUUAGUAAUACAUAGAUGAUCUGUCCUCAACUUGGGAAUAACGGUUGGAAACGACCGCUAAUACCGAAUGUGGUGUGCUUAGGCAUCUAAGACACAUUAAAGAAGGGGAUCUUCGGACCUUUCGGUUAAGGGAGAGUCUAUGGGAUAUCAGCUUGUUGGUGGGGUAAUUGCCUACCAAGGCUUUGACGUCUAGGCGGAUUGAGAGAUUGACCGCCAACACUGGGACUGAGACACUGCCCAGACUUCUACGGAAGGCUGCAGUCGAGAAUCUUUCGCAAUGGACGAAAGUCUGACGAAGCGACGCCGCGUGUGUGAUGAAGGCUCUAGGGUUGUAAAGCACUUUCGCUUGGGAAUAAGAAAGGUUGGCUAAUAUCCAAUCGAUUUGAGCGUACCAGGUAAAGAAGCACCGGCUAACUCCGUGCCAGCAGCUGCGGUAAUACGGAGGGUGCUAGCGUUAAUCGGAUUUAUUGGGCGUAAAGGGCGUGUAGGCGGAAAGGAAAGUUAGACGUUAAAUCUUGGGGCUCAACCCCAAGUCGGCAUCUAAUACUAUUUUUCUAGAGGGUAGAUGGAGAAAAGGGAAUUCCACGUGUAGCGGUGAAAUGCGUAGAUAUGUGGAAGAACACCAGUGGCGAAAGCGCUUUUCUAAUUUAUACCUGACGCUAAGGCGCGAAAGCAAGGGGAGCAAACAGGAUUAGAUCCCGGGUAU
rnacentral:rRNA from 1 species